AACAAGGCGUACCUGCGGACCUGCGGAGGGAUCAUUACACAAUACAAUAUGAAGGCUGUCCGCAGCUGGAGUAUUUUAUUACCCUUGUCUUUUGCGCACUUGUUGUUUCCUGGGCGGGUUCGCUCGCCACCAGGACCACCAAAUAAACCUUUUUUAUGCAGUUGCAAUCAGCGUCAGUACAAACAAUGUAAAUCAUUUACAACUUUUAACAACGGAUCU
rnacentral:misc_RNA from 1 species